UCCCCCUCUAUAUGAGGAGGCAAACUUUAACGGAGAGAUACAUGCAACUUCGCAGGUUGUGGAUCUGUCUCCCCGUCUGUCCGUCUGGAAACAGCAGUUGACCGAGGCGCACUGGGACCGGUCAGCAUUUGGUCGUGGAGAUUUGUCACGUUUUUUUUUUUUGGCUGAGGAAGAACUCGAGCUUAACAUGCCUCGAUCUUUUCUGGUCAAGAAGUAUUUCUCCAACAAGAAGCCUUAUUACAGAGAAAGCCAGCUGGAAAGCCAAACUGCCUUUGUCCCUGAAAGCUUUCCGCUGGCCGAACUUCCAACACAGAACAACGCCUCCGCGCUCACCUGCCACCCCAGCAGCCCCUUCUUCACUAGCCCGGAUGCCCUGCCUGCUGCGCUCUCCCCCGUCACCCCAGGCUGCCUGCCUCCCUCCCCUCUGGGCCCUCUGAACCUCAGCAGCUCUCCCUCCAGCAGCAGCGGAGAUGAAGAGGAGGACGGAGGUCGUACCUCCGAUCCCCCCAGCCCGGAGGUCAUCCAGAGCAUCUUCCACUGUCUGCACUGCAGUAAGACCUACGGCAGCCUCUCGGCACUCUCGCAUCAUCAGGUGUCCAGCCACCAGCUCCCUCCGAAUGCUCCGUCGUCCCAGGCUACUUCCAUACCCUCAGAGGUCUCCCAGCGUCCGGCCUUCCACUGCAAACACUGCUCCAAGGAGUACACCAGCCUGGGGGCUCUAAAGAUGCACAUCCGCUCGCACACGCUUCCCUGCGUGUGUCCAACAUGCGGCAAGGCCUUCUCCAGACCCUGGCUGCUCAGAGGGCACAUCCGCACGCACACAGGAGAGCGCCCCUUCGCUUGUCAACACUGUAACCGGGCCUUCGCUGACCGCUCUAACCUGCGCGCCCACCUGCAGACCCACUCCGAGGUGAAGAAGUACCACUGCGGCUCCUGCUCCCGGACCUUCAGCCGCAUGUCCCUGCUGCACAAACACAACUCCUCUGGGUGUUGUACCUCUUUGUAGAGCAGGGUUUCCCCCCCCGACCGCCUCUAAAAAGACCCAGCUGGUGCUGCUCUUGGGUUCUAAUAAGAGCCAACAUCCACAGACAACGCAGGGGGUACUGAUCCCGUACGUGUCCAAAGCAAUUCCUCUUUCUCUUAAGAGAACGUGAGAGGUGAGCGUCACUUCAGCACCUGCACACCCACGCAGUCAUGAAUCAGAGGAGGCCUGAGCUCUGCUUGAAGGGCCAACCGGGUUGGACACGCAGCGCAGAGAAAAUGCACAGGGUUUUAAAAGGGGUGUCCAAUUUCUCCUUGGGAUAUCUUCAUUCUGCCGCCAAAAAACAGUACACUCGGUUACCUAAAUGCUUUAAACAUCUUGCUACGGGGACUUCUUUUGGUUUGAGUGUAGGAGGCAGUCUGUGACUCUUUAGCUGUGAGGCAAUGAGAUCACUGGAGCUGUCAUCUUUCCUUUUAAAUGUUCAUAGGUAUCAUAUUGACCCCCUUAAAGUAUUUUGAUGUUCACAGCCUCACGCGUGCGUCCCCUGACUAAUUUGACAUUCCUGAACCAUUAGCGACAGACACAUAAUACGACUGUCUUGCAGACUGAUGGCUUCUCUCUUGUCUUCUCAGAUUUUCUAUAACAUGAAAUAUGCAGCUCCAUCUGCUUGGAUUAAGCUGCAAACUGUCCUAAGUCUCAAGGAGCUGGUGUUUGAACAGUUUUUUAAAUACUUGGUGAAAGUCCAUCUCAUUGUAAGUGCACUUACAAUGCACUAGUACUUCUUUUUCUUAAAUGCAUUGACGUUUGAGUCUAAAAUGGUUUCUUUGCAGCCUUCUUGGCCAUAGCCCUUUGUAUGAGAGAUGUAAAAUCUCUAAUUGGUGUUUCCUGCUUAAAAAUAGGAAAUUAAAUGGGGAAACAAUGUUUUUUGACAAUAAUGAAAGGACACCCCAUGAGCUUGUCUCAGGGGAGGAAAAUCCACAAGUUCAGCCCAUUGAGGAUUUAAAGGGGAGAUGUUUUCAGUUUUUCCCUUUUACAUUGAAAUCUAUAUAAAGUGGAACAGCAACGCUUUGGUCUGAAUUCCUCUUUAAUUUAUACCCACAUUUCCCCCUAUUCCUGUUCUGAGGUACGUCUGAGAGCAAUUCGGUGCAGUUUUUUUAUAUCUAACUGAGGCACUUCACACCCCGUUCCCUUCCUGGUCGCAGAGCGUUCCACAACUCCGCCGUUUGGCCAUUUUUGUAACAUGCUGGGGGAUGGUGUAAGUACUGCAGAGUCCAGUAUUUUGACUGCGCAGCAAAUACUUCAGUGUAAUGGUUAAAAAAAAAA